GAUGAACGCUAGCGGCAGGCUUAACACAUGCAAGUCGAGGGGUAUUUCUCUUCGGAUAGAGAGACCGGCGCACGGGUGCGUAACGCGUAUGCAAUCUACCUUUUACAGAGGGAUAGCCCAGAGAAAUUUGGAUUAAUACCUCAUAGUAUAUAGACUCGGCAUCGAGAUUAUAUUAAAGUCACAACGGUAAAAGAUGAGCAUGCGUCCCAUUAGCUAGUUGGUAAGGUAACGGCUUACCAAGGCUACGAUGGGUAGGGGUCCUGAGAGGGAGAUCCCCUACACUGGUACUGAGACACGGACCAGACUCCUACGGGAGGCAGCAGUGAGGAAUAUUGGACAAUGGGCGCAAGCCUGAUCCAGCCAUGCCGCGUGCAGGAGGACGGUCCUAGGGAUUGUAAACUGCUUUUAUACGAGAAGAAACACUGCUACGUGUAGCAGCUUGACGGUAUCGUAAGAAUAAGGAUCGGCUAACUCCGUG
rnacentral:rRNA from 1 species